GACGAACGCUGGCGGCGUGCUUAACACAUGCAAGUCGAACGGAAAGGCCCUGCUUUUGUGGGGUGCUCGAGUGGCGAACGGGUGAGUAACACGUGAGUAACCUGCCCUUGACUUUGGGAUAACUUCAGGAAACUGGGGCUAAUACCGGAUAGGAGCUCCUGCUGCAUGGUGGGGGUUGGAAAGUUUCGGCGGUUGGGGAUGGACUCGCGGCUUAUCAGCUUGUUGGUGGGUAGUGGCUUACCAAGGCUUUGACGGGUAGCCGGGCUGAGAGGGGGACCGGCCACAUUGGGACUGAGAUACGGCACAGACUCCUACGGGAGGCAGCAGUGGGGAAUAUUGCACAAUGGGCGGAAGCCUGAUGCAGCAACGCCGCGUGCGGGAUGACGGCCUUCGGGUUGUAAACCGCUUUCGCCUGUGACGAAGCGUGAGUGACGGUAAUGGGUAAAGAAGCACCGGCUAACUACGUG
rnacentral:rRNA from 1 species